rnacentral:rRNA from 1 species
CUACCCGGGUAUCUAAUCCCGUUUGCUCCCCUGGCUUUCGCGCCUCAGCGUCAGAAGUGGUCCAGUAUGCCGCCUUCGCCACCGGAGUUCCUAUCGAUAUCAACGCAUUUCACCGCUCCACCGAUAGUUCCGCAUACCCCUACCACCCUCGAGGCACCCAGUAUCCGAGGCAGUUCUCCGGUUGAGCCGGAGGAUUUCACCACGGACUUGAGCACCCGCCUACGCGCCCUUUAAGCCCAGUGAUUCCGAACAACGUUCGCUCGGUUCGUCUUACCGCGGCUGCUGGCAC